CAUCCAAAGCCUCAGCUUGUUAAUUUGUUGGCUAAAGUUCCCUUUGUGUGUUGUCGGUGCCCCGUUUCUUUGUGCUGCAUACCUAUUUUUGUAGGUAUUCAGUCGGCUAAAACGUCCCUCUUCCGCCUCGUGCUGUGCCUCUACGGAUGCGGCGCGGGGUGGACCUGAAAGCGUUCGUCGCGUUCCACAUUCCGCGCAAGUACCGAUGUACGUGCUCGGGAUGUUGGCCCGUGUCGGCAUGCUCGAUCUCUCGGAUGCGGAACACUGAGCGGGUACGAGGCCACCAGGCCUCUAUUUGCCCCGAAAAACAAGCGUUCUACGCUUCUCGCGAACGACCGCCGCUACCGUUCUGUGCGGGUCCUUGCGGCUCGUAUCAUGCGGUAGUGGCGUCGAUGAGGAAUGC
rnacentral:misc_RNA from 1 species